CUCUUUUCCAAAGGGCCCAGGAAUCCCAGAUGGGGCCCAGACAGUGGCAAAAGAGGGAGGAAGAGAGGGAGAAAGGGAGCAGCGGCUGCUACUGCAAACAGUUCCCCUUCGCAGCUCUGCGCUCAGCUCGCCCAUCAGUGUGCCACUGCCUCUCCGUCCUCCUCCUCGGAGCUGGGCGCAGGGGGGCGCCCGGGAGGCGGCGUAGUCCGCGCCACGUUGCUGUCGCCCUCCUCCGGCUCCGCCGGGUGCAGGUGCGUGGCGAGCUCCUGCAGCACGGCCGCGCGCCCGAUCUGGUCGUUGCGUCGCUUCUCCAUGAUCAGGUCCUCUAGACUCUGGAACUCGAGCGUGUGGCUGCGCUGCGCCGACAGCUGAAUCUGCAGCCGGUAGGGCUGCUUGCCGAUGCGCAGCUCGCCGCCGAUCUUGAACUCGCGCUUGCCGUAGCGGCACCAGGCGGCGAAACUCUCCGAGUUGCGCCAGCUCAGCUCGCGCUCCUUGGCACCCACGUGCGCCAGCGCGUUGCGCACCACGGCGCUGGAGCUUAGCGGCUUGUAGCGGUACAGAUCGUUGACCACGCGGCCGCGACGGCCCUGGCUGGCGUCAGUCAGGAAGCUGUUAAUCACCUCCAGCCGGUGCAGGUGCACCACCUGGAAGUUACCCACAUAUACGGCCCAGUGCGGGUACUGAGCCUGCGACACGAACUCCACCAGAUCGCCCGGCUUGCACUUGUUGAGCAGGUUCUCGGGCGUGUAGGUACUCAGCGCCGCCGAGCCCGGCGCGAAGCUCUUCUGGUAGAUGCAUUCGUCCCGGUAGAACACGGAGCAUUCCACCUCGUGCAGCCGCGGAUCGUAGGGCUGCGGCUGGGGCGGCGGCUGCGGCUCCACGUCCUCAUCGUCAUUGGAGAAAAUGUAGGAGACCCCAAUGCGGGGCCCGUCGUCCCGGUCCACGCCAGUCGGGUCGGCCGUGGGAACUUCCUUGUAACUUAGGUGGGUCAAUUUCUCCACCUGGUUGCCCAUCACGCUGCGGACACACGUUCACACCGCCGCAAGGGGAGAAAGCGAAACCAACUCCAGGGUCAUUUGCACAGGUCCCCGGACAGGGGCUGAGGCUACCUGUUGGGAGAGGAAGGCAAGAAAGCCAUGCAGGAGCCCCUCCGUGAAAAGGGCGUUUUGUUCCGAAAAAGAAUCGGUGGGGGCUCAGCACCUGGAGCCAUUUUAGGGGGAAGUCUCGGGUGUAGCGAGCUUUCCCUCGUUUCUCCACCUGUAAGGUCACGGUCACAGGAGACUGGGCAACUCCUGUUCUCCCUGUCCCCAGCCCUUCGCCUGGCCCUGGCAAAAGCCCAUUGCAUCAGCAGCUUCUACUGCUUCCGCCUGCGCCCUACCUGCCAAGCUUGGGC
rnacentral:lncRNA from 1 species